AAAUGGGUUGAUCCAUGAGAAUUGCCCCGAGCAUACUGCUGUCCUUCAGCUGUGGAUGUGUGCUGCAGAGUCCUGAACUUAAAGAGUAUUUUUAUUGCUCUUGAUCCGUCUCCUUGGUAAGGAUUCUGCCUGUUCAGGAGUGCCUCGGGUUCCCUGCCUGCCCUUCUUUGGAAACUUGUCCUCCUGGAAGCACCUCUCCACUCUCACUUUGUGACUGAAGAGCACCAUGGAGUCCUCUGGGUCCCUUGCCCCUCUUCCUGGCACUUGCAGGAGUAUUUCCACUUGGACAUCCCACAGGUUCUUGGUCACUUUUAUUUAAUCCAGAAAACUGUCAUUUCUGAACAUAUGACCCUCACCAGGCUGCACAGGGGCACAGUUACCCAUAAAAUGCCUGUGCAAGCCUAGGACCACAGGUGGACGAGGCUCCUGGUGCACUUCGCUGCCGGUGUUGGUUCAUGUGGCAGCCAGCGUACUUACAGCAUCAAGGCGUGAUACAGGUUUCAGGCCAGCUUUGAGCGUUUGACAGCCCAUGCCUGACCGAGGAAAUGAGCACUCAGAUGGCUGCCUGAGUCGGUGCCCAAGAGAACGACAGAAGAAACUAAUGAAAUAGAGCAGGGCUGUGUAGCAAAGUCAUUUGUUGACUGGAGGACUCUCUUUUCUUGCUGGAGAAGGCUGGAAAUGCAUAAUGAAUGAGACAGGAUACUCCAGAAAGUUGUAAAAUGGUCUCAGAGGGGCGGCUCGACGCCUUUGUGGAGAGCUAGGUUCUGUCUCUCGCUCAGCCACAGACUUGGUUUCUAUCCCUUAAACAGAAAAGUUGACCACAAAGUGCAUGCUUCUCAUUUUCUGCAUGUCCAAGGUAAGGCAGACGGGACUUGUUUUUAGAGAGAAACCAUCUACAGACGGCAUGGUGGGAGCUUGGUCUAUGUGAUGAGCUGGGAGAAGGAUUGGCGCUCUGGAAAAUGAACCAGUAUCUCAGCCUGGGGAUUCAGAAUCCACGGAUGCUUUUCAAAGGUCUAUACUAAAGUUUCCCCAUAUCUUGGCCCUUUGUUAGCAACGUGAGGAAAGUGAUCUCUACGUAUCUCAGCCAAACUGUAAGCAAUCCUUAGUAUUUUCAGGGUACAAGAUGCUGCCGUGGAAACAGCUGGGAGGAAAACACUAGUUUUAUGCUUGAGGCAGGAUUUGGAAGACAUGAGGUAAAUAAGGAUAAGGGAUGCGUAUUAUAGUAGCAGGCUAAAAAUAAACAGAAACAUCAGUUCACAGAGGAAGACAAUGGCUCUGUAUAAAAAUAUGGCCUACGACUGUGUAAUUAAAGCCUGCAUUUCAACCCAAAGAAACUGAAGUAAGAGAAUUGUGUGGGUGGUUUUAGCUCCGAUAUGACUUAGUCACCAAGUUUCUGCUUUAAUAGGUGGCUUGUCAGAGGUAGUUGUGUAUGUAACAGCGUUGUAAUAACUUCCACAACAUAAGCUUAACACUGCACUAAAAGCAAACAUCUUGCUUUAAAACGGACGCAUUUCACCAGACGCAAUUUUCUCCUUCAC